AUUGAACGCUGGCGGCAGGCUUAACACAUGCAAGUCGAGCGGGGGAAGGUAGCUUGCUACCGGACCUAGCGGCGGACGGGUGAGUAAUGCUUAGGAAUCUGCCUAUUAGUGGGGGACAACAUCUCGAAAGGGAUGCUAAUACCGCAUACGUCCUACGGGAGAAAGCAGGGGAUCUUCGGACCUUGCGCUAAUAGAUGAGCCUAAGUCGGAUUAGCUAGUUGGAGGGGUAAAGGCCUACCAAGGCGACGAUCUGUAGCGGGUCUGAGAGGAUGAUCCGCCACACUGGGACUGAGACACGGCCCAGCUUCCUACGGGAGGCAGCAGUGGGGAAUAUUGGACAAUGGGGGGAGCCCUGAUCCAGCCAUGCCGCGUGUGUGAAGAAGGCCUUAUGGUUGUAAAGCACUUUAAGCGAGGAGGAGGCUACUUUAGUUAAUACCUAGAGAUAGUGGACGUUACUCGCAGAAUAAGCACCGGCUAACUCUGUGCCAGCCGCCGCUGUAA
rnacentral:rRNA from 1 species